rfam:Columba livia unplaced genomic scaffold scaffold67, whole genome shotgun sequence.
UCAUAUGCCUUUUUCAAGGCAACAAUAAUAAAAAAUAAAUAUGAAG